rnacentral:lncRNA from 12 species
AUAUGUUUUGGUAGAUUGAAUAGAAACCAUCUGCAAAUGACAUUUUAAAGGCUUUGGAUUUUUUUCUUAGAGCCAGUAAGGAUCAGAAUUCUUCUUGCCAAAAGGCACAGCUUACCUUGUUUAUGGUAGUCAUUAUUUAUUUGUCACAAGAUUUGAAAUAAUAGAGUAUUAUGUUCAACUUAAUGAUGCUAUUGCUUUAAAUUAUAAUAAGUUUUUCUUUAUGUACCAUUUACAGAAUGCUCUGUCAUGCCUCACCCUUGUGAUAUUGAAAGGCAAAAGUAGACAAAGUCUUCACAGAGGUUCUAUAUAUGUGAAUGUAGGCACAGAAGGCAAUGCACUGUCCAAACAUCCAAUAAAGUAA